rnacentral:rRNA from 1 species
UACGGAGGGUGCCAGCGUUAUCCGGAAUCAUUGGGUUUAAAGGGUCCGCAGGCGGAUUUAUAAGUCAGUGGUGAAAGCCUGAUGCUUAACAUCAGAACUGCCAUUGAUACUGUAAGUCUUGAAUUCGAUCGAAGUGGGCGGAAUAUGACAUGUAGCGGUGAAAUGCUUAGAUAUGUCAUAGAACACCGAUAGCGAAGGCAGCUCACUAGGUCUGGAUUGACGCUCAGGGACGAAAGCGUGGGGAGCAAACAGG